rnacentral:rRNA from 1 species
ACCGAAUAGAUACCCCGGUAGUCCACGCCCUAAACUAUGUCAACUAGUUGUUGGGAGAGUUAAAUCUCUUAGUAAACGCAGCUAAACGCGUGAAGUUGACCGCCUGGGGAGUACGGCCGCAAGGUUAAAACUCAAAGGAAUUGACGGGGACCCGCACAAGCGGUGGAUUAUGUGGAUUAAUUCGAUGCAACGCGAAAAACCUUACCUACCCUUGACAUGUACGGAACGGGGCAGAGACGUCCCGGUGCCCGAAAGGGAACCGUAACACAGGUGCUGCAUGGCUGUCGUCAGCUCGUGUCGUGAGAUGUUGGGUUAAGUCCCGCAACGAGCGCAACCCUUACCAUUAGUUGCUACAUUCAGUUGGGCACUCUAAUGGGACUGCCGGUGACAAACCGGAGGAAGGUGGGGAUGACGUCAAGUCCUCAUGGCCCUUAUGGUAGGGCUUCACACGUAAUACAAUGGCCGGUACAGAGGGUUGCCAACCCGCGAGGGGAGCCAAUCCCAGAAAGCCGGUCGUAGUCCGGAUUGCUCUCUGCAACUCGAGAGCAUGAAGUCGGAAUCGCUA